AAAAGGUCAGAAAUACUGUCUUUCCCCGAAUCUUUAGCUUUCCUCCAAUAAUCCAUUAUGAAUCUGACAUCCACUAAUUUGCCUAAAUGUUCCUUGAACUUGAUGGGGUAAUGAGUUCCUCAACUUUGCUAUUACCUGUGAAGUAACAGAUGGAAAACCAGGGCUCAGGAAGAGGAUGUAGCUUGUUCAGGUCCUGCUGUGGCUGAACUGUAACCAGGAAGGGCAAUUUAGAGUCAUAAAAGACCAGCUGAGACAGAAGCGAAACUUUCCUCAACGGACCCAACCACGAUCAUGGAACCCCCUCCCCCAGAAGAGGGGCUGCCUUCGUAGCCCUCCCUUCGUAUCAUUAGUUUACCUAUUUAUAGGUAUGCCUGCUAUGGGUCAGCACUGUUCUGGGCUGUGGGCACGCAAGUGUUAACCAAACAUUCCCCCCCUCCCACCGUGUCCCCCCACCCCGGGGCUUACCAUCAAGCCUGUAUGUUUUGGCACAUUAUCCAUUAAAAGUCAAAUCCUGAGGAAUUCUCUAGGACCUUGCCCUCUCUGAAUGCAAUAAAGACACGUUGGAGAGGAAUGUGGAUGAGUUAGGGUCCAGCCAGUCAAGUGCUGUUUUU